AUGCCAGUUACUGAGCCCAUAGAAUUUUCCUUUGAUGCACCAACCUGGAGUCUAGGGAAGAGCAUGGCAGCCCACAUCACCAUGGGACGCAUUGGAGAAGUUUAUCAUAAUGAUAUUAAGGACACUAUUUACCAGAUAUGUGGGUGUCGAGAUGAGCAAUGGGAGAUGAUCAGUACCAGGAGGGACAGGUGCAUUGCAGCUUUCAUUCAGGAGUUAAACCAGCACAUUCGUCGCCAGGAGAACCAGAUGUGCGCAAGCAUGAUAGAUCUGAAGAAGGCGAUGACCAGGAUCAUGGAGCUAGAGGAGGAACUCAAGUAUACACGCGACGGAUAUGAGGAGGAAAUGGUAAUACUAGUGGAGAAGAAUGACGACCUAACGAGGAAGCUAGGAGUAUUCAUGGGAGACCCCGCACCAGGAGGAGAUGACGACCAUUCCAAGGACAUUUGUUCAGAGGACUACAUCAUCAUCAAUGACACCGAUUCUGACCCCGACGGUAGCGAUGAUGACUACGUUGAUGUAGCUGGAGCGGAUAUCAUGUAG
rnacentral:rRNA from 1 species